CAACAGGGAUUGCCCCAGUAACGGCGAGUGAAGCGGCAAGAGCUCAAAUUUGAAAGCUGGCUCCUUCGGGGUCCGCAUUGUAAUUUGCAGAGGAUGUUUCGGGAGUGGCCCCCAUCUAAGUGUCCUGGAACGGACCGUCAUAGAGGGUGAGAAUCCCGUAUGGGAUGGGGUGCCCACGCCCGUGUGAAACUCCUUCGACGAGUCGAGUUGUUUGGGAAUGCAGCUCUAAAUGGGUGGUAAAUUUCAUCUAAAGCUAAAUAUUGGCCGGAGACCGAUAGCGCACAAGUAGAGUGAUCGAAAGAUGAAAAGCACUUUGAAAAGAGAGUUAAAAAGCACGUGAAAUUGUUGAAAGGGAAGCGUUUGCGAUCAGACUCGCCGGCGGGGUUCAGCCUACCUUCGGGUAGGUGUACUUCCCCGCCGGCGGGCCAGCGUCGGUUUGGGCGGCCGGUCAAAGGCCCUAGGAAUGUAACGCCUCUCGGGGCGUCUUAUAGCCUAGGGUGUCAUGCGGCCUGCCCGGACCGAGGAACGCGCUUCGGCUCGGACGCUGGCAUAAUGGUCGUAAACGACCCGUCUUGAAACACGGACCAAGGAGUCUAACAUCUAUGCGAGUGUUCGGGUGUCAAACCCGUGCGCGAAGUGAAAGCGAACGGAGGUGGGAACCCUUUGGGUGCACCAUCGACCGAUCCUGAUGUCUUCGGAUGGAUUUGAGUAAGAGCAUAGCUGUUGGGACCCGAAAGAUGGUGAACUAUGCCUGAAUAGGGCGAAGCCAGAGGAAACUCUGGUGGAGGCUCGCAGCGGUUCUGACGUGCAAAUCGAUCGUCAAAUUUGGGUAUAGGGGCGAAAGACUA
rnacentral:rRNA from 1 species